GGAAUAUUGGACGAUGGGCGCAACCCUGAUCCAGCGACGCCGCGUGGGUGAUGAAGGCCUUCGGGUUGUAAAGCCCUUUCACCGGGGACGAUGAUGACGGUACCCGGAGAAGAAGCCCCGGCUAACUCCGUGCCAGCCGCCGCGGUAAGACGGAGGGUGCUAGCGUUGUUCGGAAUCACUGGGCGUAAAGGGCGCGUAGGCGGCGUCGCAAGUCGGCUGUGAAAGCCCGGGGCUAAACUCCGGAGGUGCAGCCGAGACUGCGGUGCUCGAGGCCGGAAGAGGAGGGUGGAAUACCCAGUGUAGAGGUGAAAUUCGUAGAUAUUGGGUGGAACACCGGUGGCGAAAGCGGCUCUCUGGUCCGGACCUGACGCUGAGGCGCGAAAGCGUGGGGAGCAAAC
rnacentral:rRNA from 1 species